rnacentral:rRNA from 1 species
GCUAGUUGGUAGGGUAACGGCCUACCAAGGCGACAAUCCGUAGCUGGUCUGAGAGGACGACCAGCCACACUGGGACUGAGACACGGCCCAGACUCCUACGGGAGGCAGCAGUGGGGAAUAUUGGACAAUGGGGGCAACCCUGAUCCAGCGACGCCGCGUGUGUGAAGAAGGCCUGCGGGUUGUAAAGCACUUUUAGUGGGGAUGAAAAGCUCAGGGUUAACACCUCUGGGUCUUGGCCUAACCCACAGAAAAAGCACCGGCUAACUCUGUGCCAGCAGCCGCGGUAAUACAGAGGGUGCAAGCGUUAAUCGGAAUUACUGGGCGUAAAGCGUGCGUAGACGGUUACAUAAGUCGGGUGUGAAAGCCCCGGGCUCAACCUGGGAAUUGCAUUCGAGACUGUGUAGCUAGGGUGCGGAAGAGGGAAGCGGAAUUUCCGGUGUAGCGGUGAAAUGCGUAGAUAUCGGAAGGAACACCAGUGGCGAAAGCGGCUUCCUGGUCCAGCACCGACGUUCAGGCACGAAAGCGUGGGGAGCAAACAGGAUUAGAUACCCUGUAGUCCACGCCAUAAACGAUGAGAACUAGACGUUGAGAGGGUAAGCCUCCCAGUGUCGCAGCUAACGCGAUAAGUUCUCCGCCUGGGGAGUACGGCCGCAAGGUUGAAACCCAAAGGAAUUGACGGGGACCCGCACAAGCGGUGGAGCAUGUGGUUUAAUUCGACAACGCGAAGAACCUUACCUGGCCUUGACAUCCCAGGAACCCUGAAGAGAUUUAGGGGUGCCGCAAGGAACCUGGAGACAGGUGCUGCAUGGCUGUCGUCAGCUCGUGUCGUGAGAUGUUGGGUUAAGUCCCGCAACGAGCGCAACCCUUGUCCUUAGUUGCCAGCAUUAAGUUGGGCACUCUAAGGAGACUGCCGGUGACAAACCGGAGGAAGGUGGGGAUGACGUCAAGUCAUCAUGGCCUUUAUGGCCAGGGCUACACACGUGCUACAAUGGUAGAUACAGAGGGAAGCCAACGCGCGAGCGGGAGCCAAUCCCAGAAAAUCUAUCGUAGUCCGGAUCGGAGUCUGCAACUCGACUCCGUGAAGUCGGAAUCGCUAGUAAUCGCAGAUCAGCAUUGCUGCGGUGAAUACGUUCCCGGGUCUUGUACACACCGCCCGUCACACCAUGGGAGUUGAUUGCACCAGAAGCAGGUAGCCUGACCGCAAGGAGGGCGCCUACCACGGUGUGGUCAAUGACUGGGGUGGAGUCGUAACAAGGUA